rnacentral:rRNA from 1 species
GAUGAACGCUGGCGGCGUGCUUAACACAUGCAAGUCGAACGGAAAGGCCUCAGCUUGCUGGGGUGCUCGAGUGGCGAACGGGUGAGUAACACGUAGGUGAUCUGCCUUUCACUUCGGGAUAAGCUUGGGAAACUGGGUCUAAUACCGGAUAUUCACGGCACCGUGGUUGGUGUGGUGGAAAGCUUUUGCGGUGGGAGAUGAGCUUGCGGCCUAUCAGCUUGUUUGUGGGGUAAUGGCCUACCAAGGCAGCGACGGGUAGCCCGCCUGAGAAGGGUGGCGGGCACAUUGGGACUGAGAUACGGCCCAGACUCCUACGGGAGGCAGCAGUGGGGAAUGUUGCACAAUGGGCGGAAGCCUGAUGCAGCGACGCCGUGUGGGGGAUGAAGGCCUUCGGGUUGUAAACUCCUUUCGUCAGGGACGAAGUUUGUUUGACGGUACCUGGAUAAGAAGCACCGGCUAACUACGUG